AAAGAUCAUAUAUUGAAUUUAAUAAAGAUAAGUAGACGGACAAUAGUGCAUCCUUUUGGUUAAUCAAGCAAAGACUAACGACACAUGCAAGUGCCUUGACCAAAGACAUUAUUACAAUAGCAGAUUUAAUGUCAUUAAUUUUGAGAAUGACAUUGCGACAUAUACUAAUUUAUUGUUUAGACUUUUAAUUUGCAGAAACGGAGUAGAUCUUAAUUAACUUAAUCAGCUUAGUAAGGUUUCUGCCCAAUAUAAUUGCCCGGAGGAUCAUAGUUGCAAGUGACAAACCACCGGCCAUUGCAAUUAUGCAAAGUGCCAAAUAAUAAAAGUGUUUUUGUAUAGACUAUUUUUCUUUUAACUUAAUGCAAGAAUUAUUUUAUUGUUAUAAUUUUUUUCUUCAUAUUACUAUUUGAAAAGUAUUAUUUUUUGAAAAAUAUUAAUCGUAAUCAUUAUUGUAGCCAUCAUGUUGGAUGAGUGCUAAUGACGGUGAAUGAAAUGUAGAUCUUCUCUUGAACCGUGUGUUGAACAAUAAUAUGAAGUGUAAUUGUUAUUUUUAGAUACUAGUUUGUGGUUUUUUUAAAUACAUUUGUGUAUUUUAUACUUAAAUUUGAGAAUUUAUGUUGGAUUGAUGUUGAAAUUUUAAUUUUUCAUUUACAUUGGUUAAAUUUAAAAUUGAAUAUGUCAUGUGGAAUUUGAGGUUAUUAUUGUAAAUUUAUAUAUUGAAUAUUUUUUAUUUUAAAUGUAUAAACCCGUAAAAAAAUCCGCCGGAUACCAUUGCAGGUUUGGUAAUUGUCAAAACUCGCAGCAGCUGAAUUUUCUUAAAAAAAUUAAAACCCACUGCGGGUUGCGGGUGGGUUUAAUAAUUAAAAUUUUGUGCAGAUUUGAGUUUGAUAAUUUAAAUUUUGUGUGGAUUUGAAUUUAGUAAUGACAAACCCGCUGCAGGCGGUGCCAUCCCUACGUAUAGCGUGCCAAACGCAGUUUGUUUUAGCUGCUCGGCUGCAGCUUUUGUUGGCCUUUACCAUUGUAUUGGGCUGGGCUUGGCCCAUUCGGCAUGCUCAUUUUCGAAAGUUUUUGUUCCUCGCAUCACAUCAUAAAUUAUUAAAUACCAUAACAAAAGCCAGAUGAAAGAAAUUGCUAAAAUCAAUCCAACAUAAUUAUGUGUCGUGGAUAUUGGAGCAGAACAAUACUGCAUUUGGAUACGAUUCCAUUAAAGGUUUUAUUUUGAAAUAAAAAUAAAAAUUAAAAGAAAAAGAAAAAGAAAAAGAAAAAGAAAAAGAAAAAGAAGGAAAAUUAAGAAUGAAUUUUCUUUGUUCUAGUUGUGAAUAAAGUUAUAUAGAUAAUUGAUUAUUGUCUGAGGUGAAUCUGCUGCGUUUGGUAUUUGCAAAUUUAAAGUAGAUUUUGGAGCAGCUAGUUAAUUAACUUGUGUUUUGUACAAGAUGCGCCUAGUUUAUUUUGUAAUUGCAUAUAAUUUAUCAGUGAUCUGUUAAAAAUGGGUGGGUAAAGUUAAAAGCAUUCUUGUUGAGAUCCAAGUCAACUUAACUGUUAAUAUUUUUUUCCAUUUAUAAGAUGAGGAUGCCAUCCUAGGAAUGAUUUGGUGUGUCGCGCAAUAGAUGAAUUAAUUUGGCGUGGACCAGUUAAUUAGGAUCAUUUUAUUUGUAAUCUGGAUAUUAUUUUAUAUUCUUAAGAAUAAAUUGAGGCGCAAAAAAUUUCAAAAGAACAUGUUAACAAUUUUGGUACAAUGUAAGCAUGAUUAAAGUUACACGCCAUCAAUAUUUUGACCAACGUUAGGUUUGUUAAUCGCCAACGUAACGUCAAAUGUGGCCCCAAAUGUCGUUAACAUGAAAAGAGGAAAUCGAAAAUUUAUCUACUGUAGAUCCGUGAAAUGCUGCGUCUCAAUCCCUUUGGCUAUAUAUACAUUCAUGAUUCAUAUUAUUUAUUAUUCUAGUCUUUUCCUAUAUAUAAAGAGAUGAUAAAUAGACCAAAUUCAUUGUUAGUAGAACAAUCGGCCGAUCCUGUCAAUUUAAAGGGAAUCUAGGAGUAUUGAGUAUAUAUCCUGCGAAAUUGGAAUGUAAUAUAUAUUAUCUAACAAGUUAAAUUAAUGAUAAAUUCUCCCAAUUAUAUUUUUCUGAGUAACCCUUUUAUAGUUUUUACCAAAUCCAGUAACCUUUUAAGGGCAAAACCAUAAACAAAAAAGAGUGGACGUUUUGCUAUUUAUAUUUGUAUUUUUUAUAAAAUAUCAUUAUCGCUACAUCUGGUAGCAUUGUCAUAUGUUAUAAUUAUUUUUUAAGUUAAGAAUACCCAAAAUCUAAUCACAAGAAAACUGUUCUUUCUCGUGUUAACUCUUAUUGACAAUAGAAUAAGGUAUUUAUAAAAGCCAUGCAGAAUCAACAAAUUCUGACGACGACAUUGAUUUUGGCUCACUCUGGUAGCGGCAAUUUGUACAGAGUCACACAAAAACAUACGCAAUCCUUAUAUUAGGCAGGUGAAUCGUUAUAUUUAUCCUAUAAUUACUUACAAAAUCAAUUAGUCUCUUCUUUCCAGUUGUAGAUAAUAAAAUUAAAUAACUUACUUGUAAUAAUAAUAAAAGCUAUCUCGCACAAUCAUAGCCUUAAAUUUUGUCAAGCUUUUCUCUUUAUAUAUGCCCUCAACGAUAUUACGAACUCAAUCAAGAAAGUUCACAUAGCGUAGUGAAGUUAAAAUGUUGCUCAACAAAUUCAUUUUAGCCAUCUUCUUCAUUUCUCUAACCCUACCUCACAUCAUCCACGCACAAAGCUCCCACCAAGACAUCGUUAAUGCACACAAUGCAGCUCGUGCGGAGGUCGGCGUCGAUCCGAUGACUUGGAAUGACACCGUUGCAGCCUAUGCACAAGACUAUGCCAACCAAAGAAUGGGUGACUGUAACUUGGAACAUUCAAUGGGGCCUUAUGGAGAGAACCUGGCUGAGGGUUAUGGGAAACUUGAUGGAGUUGAUGCCGUAAAAUUUUGGCUUACUGAGAAGCCUAACUAUGAUCAUGCUUCAAAUUCGUGUGUUGGUGAUGAGUGUUUGCAUUACACUCAAAUCGUUUGGCGCAAAUCUGUGAGUGUUGGCUGUGGUAGAGUCAAGUGCAAAAAUGAUUGGUGGUUUGUUAUUUGUAAUUAUUAUCCUCCGGGGAAUAUCGAAGGUGAAAGACCUUAUUGAAUAAUUUUACUUAGUAGUGCAAUGAAAAAUUACUGUUGUUGGGUUUGUUCGAUUUAAGAUGAAAAAGAAUUUGAAUGUGUUGUUGUGGCCUUAUCACUCAAAAGUUUAAAUUUAAAAUUUUGUAAGUUAAUAGAUUUUGUGACUGAACUUGUAAAAGCUUAAAAACGAUGUUAAUAGAUUUUGUGACUCAACUUUUAAAAACUCAACAAGAAAAAUUGGCAAUCUCCUGAUUUAAAAUUACUCAUAACUAAACUAUUUAUUCUAAUUGAUGUAAAUUUCUAAUGAGAUGUGAUCAGAUUUGCUAUUUAUUAUUUUAAAAUUUCCCUCAGGCCAUAAACAGUUUAACAAAAUAUGAAAAUUUGAGUAAUUCUUCACUCUUACGUUUUUGUUUCUAGAGUAUAUUUCAGAAUUGAACUUUUCAACACCUAAGAUGGCUCCAUUUAUUGGGGUAUCCUCACAUUUUCAACGCAAUGAAAGUGCACAUUUACUAAUAACGCAGCCAGCACCCGGCAGCCUAUCUAUCUUCUAACAAACAAAUUUUCAUCAAAAAUUUGGUAUAUAUCGGUUGCAAAAUCUUUGGACUCAUCAAUAACAAAUUAAUAUGACCAAUUCUUUCGAUAAAAAAUUAAAAAUUAAUUAAUCAGACAAAUCUAAACGGUAUAAGAACAACACUGUCGUCCAAGUUCAAAAUUUCCAACAUGCGAUUUUUAUUUUUUUAACAAAGCAUUAUUAGAAAUUAAACUUAAUUACACCCUACCCUUUUUCAAUAUGUGAUUUUUUUUUUAAUUUUUAUAAAGCAUUAUUAAAAUUAAACUUACUCCCUACCCUAGUUAUAUAAACAGGAUUCGAACUUCAAACUUUUUGUACCACUCAAAAAAGUGACAAGCGACAGCCCAUAAUUUUGUGACUUUCAGUGACUAUUUGGUUGAUUAAAUAAAUAAAUGAUCAUUUUUCCUCUAACUUUCUUAAGAACUAAUUACUAAAUGUGAAACGUAAAAUAAUGGAGAAAGACAAAACUACAAACUUUAUUUUACCGAAGGUACGGGCGGAUAAAAUCACAUUUGUUAUAACAGCAAUACUUUAUUUGUAAGCAAAAUUCAGGCGGAUUAAACGGGAAUCCAAAUGCACUUUCAUCCUGAUAUAUUAUGAAAUCAAAUUUUGAUAUAUGUUACUCUAUUCACACUUACGAUAAGUAAUUCAUCACAGGGAGUGUUCAAAACUUCAAAUAAUAAUAAUAAUAAUAAAAUUAUUAAUUUGUGAGGACUGAUUUAAUAAAGAGUAAUGAUAGACAUCCUAAUUUUUUUUUUAUCUCAAAUGAUAUGUUAUUCAUUAAUUCGUUGGUAAUCUUUUAUAAGAUUUAAGUAAAUUAAUUGUAUUAUGCUCAUCAAUCAAUUGAUGAAUAAAAAAAAUUUAAGAUAUGCAGCCCUACUCUUUAAUAAAUUAGGAUACGGAAUUGAGCUGCUUUUUUCCCUUUUUUUUUUGUUGAACACUUAUAUGGAUAGUUCAAGAUUCGUUUUUCAAUUCUCUUGUCUUAUAACCGUUAAUGGUACUCAAUAAAAAAAUCAAAUUAGCACUUAAUCUUUGUCCUUGAUUAACAUAUCCAAAUUCACUAAAGCAAUAGCCUCUCUCUAGGUUCAAAAUUUUACGGUCGAUGGAAAAUGGAUGGCGUCAAUUUUGAUUUUGACCAACUCCUAGUUCUUUUAACCAUGGAUAAUAAUAGUCAAUUCUUCAUCUUUAUCAAAACAAAGUUUUUAGUUAGUCAAAUUGGACAUCGACAUCGUCUAUUUACUUUUCUACUUGAAAUCCUGAAUUUAUGCUCAAUUUGUCCCAUAAUUAGCGCUACACAUUAAUUGACAAUAUUCCAACUUUCUAGAUGAAUAUAUUUUCAUUGAAUAAAUAUAAAUCCCCUAGUGACGACUUCGUCUACAGAAAUUAAGUUUUUCACAUAUGUAAUCAUGGAAAUAAUUUUUCUUAUGGAGAUGUGGGUAGGGGUUCGAAUCCCCAUAUAUUUUUGGGGAAAAAAAAAUCAUAUUUCAGUUAUUCAUUUGGGAUAGUUUCAGCAUUUUGAGCUAGACAUCCAUCUUGCACCAUAACAAAACUAUUUAAACAAGGUCUUAAUUGUGAUGUAAAAAUAAUAAAUUGUAAUAUGAUAUACAUUAAAAUAAAAUACAGGUGAUCCAUUGUUACUAAUGAAUUCUAAGUCAACUUUAAAUAAGGCCAUUUUUGCAUCGUACAUAUGAGAAACAUGGUCAAAGGAAUUGUUAAUUUGUAAUAAUUAAACACCGCAAUUACUGUUGAAUGUGGCAUGAAUCAUGGAAGGGAGAAGGAGACUGGGAUCAUGAAUCUUUGUAUUUGGUUUUCAAAAAGAGACAGUAGGUAUGAAACAGGAAUAAUGUGAUACAAAUCCUGACAUGAAAAGUAAAAAAGAGUUAAAUUGUUUCUUUCUUUUUUUUUGAAAAGAAAAAGAGUUAAAUUGUUAAUAAUGGAUAUGUUCAGGCCUUGUCGUUCAAAGGAAGGGAAGAAAGUCUUGGAUGAAAAGGAUGUGCCACUUUAUUCAUUUAAACUAUUUUCUUUUGAUAUAAAUUUGCUAAUUGUGGCUAUAAUUAUAGUAAUUGAGAAAGAAUAUUUAAAAUAUAUGACAUCGUUUUUAUUGUGUCAGCAUAUUUUGCAAUAUAUUAGUCUCAGGAAAUUAAAACAAAUAAAGAUGAAUUAAGAGAACUUGUGUAUAUUAUUAUUUCAAAUAACAUCUAAUGGGUCAUUGGUUGUCCUUCUUUUAAUUAGUAUUUAAUAGAAAAGUUUUCUAUCGUGGUAGCCUAUCAUAUAGAAUUUGGCAGUAGAAUCAAAAAAUUGUUUGAAAUAAAAAUCUUCUUGAAUAAUUAUGAUCCUCUGAGAUUUUAUGAGCCUUUUAAAACUCUUAUGCCAUGUAAAGGUAUAUGUUUUCAUAUUUUAUUUUUCUUAUACAUAUUAUCUUAACCAUUGAGUGGAUCCAUGACCUUAAGUUUCGAAAUUAAUGGAUCAAGGAAAAGUAGUUAAACAAUUUAAUGAGGAGGAUUAAAUAUUAUGUUAUCUUAAGAAACCAAAUUCUAAUGAUUAAUUCUUUUCCCAUUUCAUGUCGUUAGCUAUAGUAAUCUAUAAGUCACGACUUCCUAACAAUGAAAUAAAACGUGGAAAUUGAUUUUGAUUGGAUCAGAAGAGUAAGCUACAAAUCAACUGUAUCUUAUUAGAAAUUGAGCUGAAGGUGACGACAAUAGUGUAAUUUUCUUUUAUUUGUAAUAGAUUUUUUUCAUUCUCAAGUUCCCUAAACCACUACGCAAUCUUGUUUUUGAACAUUCUUCUUAAUUUGCCUAAUUUUUUUUCCAACCCUUAUCUCUAUAAAUACCAGUCCUACCAUCCCAUUUUUUCAUCAAUCAUCUUGCAAAAUCUUUAAUCACAAAAUUUGCAAAACAAAAAUACAAAUGGGGUUGUCCAAGAAUUCAUCACUAGCUCUUUUUUGUAUCUUGGGGUUAGCCCUAAUUCUCUCUUCCCAUGCACAAGACUCACGCCAAGACUAUGUCAAUGCUCACAACGCAGCUAGGGCACAGGUUGGUGUUGGCCCUGUGACAUGGGACGACAGAGUAGCUUCCUAUGCACAAAACUAUGCCAAUCAACGUAAAGGCGACUGCAAUCUUGUGCAUUCGCGUGGACCGUAUGGCGAGAACCUUGCAUGGAGCAGUGCUGGUCUUUCCGGCACAGAUGCUGUGAAACUGUGGGUGAAUGAGAAAGCUGAUUAUGACUACAAUUCUAAUACUUGUGCUGCAGGCAAGGUGUGUGGGCACUAUACUCAGGUGGUUUGGCGCAAAUCGGUUCGCAUUGGGUGUGCCAAGGUAACGUGCAACAAUAAUAAAGGAACUUUCAUAGGAUGCAACUAUGACCCCCCAGGCAACUUUGUUGGGGAGAAACCUUACUGAAUAUUAUAGAUAAAAAUAAAGCUUUGUAUGAUUAAGUGGCUUGCAACAAAUGCAUGGAUGAAUAAGGUUUCAAUUUGAUGGUUAUUAACUGACGAAUUUGAAUAACCAAAAAUAAAUGACAAUGAUUAAAUUUUAUGUUAAUUUUUGGAUACUUCCUAGGAUAUCACAUUUGAUAUAAUUUCCUUAUUUCAGCAUUUUCUUAAUUUUUGUUGGAUCUUUAAUUAGAUCAAAUGUUGUCUUGAAAAAACUUUUGUCAUUGAGGUGCUGUAAUUUUAAACUACAGUUGCUAUAGAAAAAAAUAUAUAACUAUAAAAUAAAAGAUAAUAGUGUGUACUAAAUACAAUUUUUAAAUGAUAAUUUUGACAAAAUUAUCAAUGAUAUAAUAUAUUUUUCAUCAUACAAGUGUAAAAUCAAACUAAUAUAACCAAACACUUUAAUACUGUAGCUUUUAAGCUACAAUUGUUCAAUCUCAAUCCCAAACAGGGACUAAGUCUUGAAUUAUUAAAUAAUAAUGGUAUAUACCACAUCUGGGGCUUUAGUGAUAUUUAGCAGGGUGAGACUUCUUUGAAAUUUUAUCACUAGAGCUACACUUUGGCACUUAUUAAGUAUAGUCGGUAUGCUAUUGUAAAUAAGUUUUGGAUAACUCUUAUUUCAUGAGCUAACUUUUGAGUAUGAGUUAGCCUGAUGAACUUUAAAUGGUAUUAGAGCCAACUCAUAAUACACAAUUAGGGUCUAUACUACCUUUCCAUGAGACUAUAGAAAAGAAGAAAAAAAUAUUAGCUUGCAUGUGACAAGAAAUAUUUUGUAAGCUAAGUAUAUUCAUUUGGAGUAAGUAACCCUCUACUUAUGAGAUAAUUUUUAGUUAUGAGUUUGAACCAUGAAUUUCUACACUAUAUAUUAGACUGAUAUGGUGAUUUUGGUCGAGUUAGCUUGCUAGGACGUUUUAAAUGAUAUAUUUGAACAAAGGGUAACUGGUUUAUUCUAUGAAAAUUAAAAAUUAUUAGUGAAUUUCGUGUUUCAAAAGUUACUAAUUUUUGAAACACCAUGUGGAGAAAGAUAUAUAUCGUCACCUUUGCCUAACUUGUAUAUAUAAAAGACUAUAUUCUAUUGGUUGCCUAAUUUUAUUGAUAUUAAUAACUUAUAUUUCCUUCCAAGCAAGUCUAAGUCAUGAAUUGAAAAAAAAAAAAAAAAAGUUUUGCGGGUCAACUAUUCUCAUAUCAAUCGUCAAUAUUUAUACAUCAAAUCCUAAAUUUUUGUUUAGUCUGCCCCAUAGUUAACGGUUAGCAACAGUGGCCCAAUACAAUCAGCAAACCUUACUAGAUGCAUGCAUCAUACAAUAUUUUUAUAUAUACUGAAAUAACAAUAUUAAUAUUGUACUUACAUAAUUGUGAUAUUUAGUUUAUAUCAUAAAUGCUAUGUCACAAAUAGUAAUUAUCAUGUGUUAUGUAUUGGUUUUGAAUUUAUUAUUUAUCAUUAGUAUUUUAGUUUCGCAAUUACUUCUCACUUAUUGAUAGAGAGAUAUUUCUACAUUAGUUAAUAAAUAGUUCUCAGGCUAAAUAUAUAAGUUUAGGACAAUUCUCAAAUUUUAAACUAAUUUUUUUAUAUGAGUUAGCUUCAAGAACUUUUAUGUAACAAUAUGAAAAGCAAACUCACUAUUAGAACCAGUCAAAAAGACCAAUCUACAAAUGACAAAGGGUGUUAAAGGGAUAGUCACAAAUCCAGCAAAGCAACACUUAACCUUGCUCGAUGUCAAACAAUUUGAGAUACAAGGUAUGUUAAGUUUAUUUUACCGAAGUUACUCCGAAAAUAAUCGUUCAUCUUUCCUUGCUCCACGUUACGAGUUUCGUUUUCAAUCUUUCAGCGCAAUAAAAAAUAUUCGGAUCUUGGAAACUAAAUACGCAGAAGACGACGAAGACUAAGACUUUCGAGAGUUGCCCAGAUGGACUAUUAAUCAAAAUUCGCGUACAGAUCACGAAACACGAUCUGGGGCAAAGAUUUUAAUACAUAAACUGCUGUUUUUGCGUGUAAUGUAGGCCAUAUGUCGUGAAAAAUCAUACCGUGUGUAACAUGGCAUGUCAUGAAAAGUACGAUGAUUUAUUAAUUCCUUGGAACUGAACAAACUGAAUAUUAGCUAGGUUUAUGUUCAAGACUUCAUCUGCACAAUUUUGUAAUGACGUUUGUAGGAAAGAAUAUAAUGCCAUCAUAGCACGGUGUGAAUUUGGGCUUUAAUUUAAGCGUUGUGAUUGUUCAAGGAGCAGUAAUAUUAAGACAGACAAAUUUAGUAGAACAUUGAUAGAAAUAGUGAUAAAUAUUUCUCAAUUUACUAACUUAAUUAUAAAAUAAAAUAAAUAAAUGCCGGUUUAUUAUUGUUUUUAUACGCGCUCUGUCAAUGUUCUACUUUAACAUUUUUCUUGUCAAUGCCUACAAAAAAAGUAGGGGAAAAAAAGAAUGCUUUGAUGUUGCAAUUCCAAUGUAACUCUUAAUAUCAGAAGCUGGAUCAUUUUUAAAAGUCAUUUUACUGACUUGACUCGACUUCAUGGUUUUCCAAUUUAUAAAUUGAUGAUAACUACAAUUAUUAUCAUUAUUAUUAUUAUUAUUGUUUUUACGGAUUACAAUCAAAGUCAUUGAUAUAUAAAAUAAAAUAUCUAUUAGAUCAGUGAUCACUUUUAUUAUAUCACAGCCAAAAGUUUCAACUUAUAUUAAGACCCUUUAAAACUGCAACACUAAAAAUAUUUAGUAAAUAUUAACUGCUGUAACUUGAAAGUUGUCUUAAUAAUUUUGUCAUAGAACGAACCUUUUGGCGGCAUGUUAUGGUAGGUAAGCCAUGUUUGCAGUGGUAUUGUAUGUAUUAGUUUAUGAACAUAUUGUGUAAAAUUAGGUGUCAUCGUUCAAUGACUUUUUUUUAAUUAAACUUUAAAGUUUGAUGUGAUACUGCUCUGUUUACCUCUUCUCCUAUGGGGGUAUCAGCCGCAUGGGAUAUCAUGGAUAUGUACAACCUAUGAAUUAUUCAACAUGACAUACAUUUUUUGUUUUAAUCUUUGUUGUUACAUGAUUUGAUUCACAGUGUAUGGGAGAGCAAAAACUUUUUGAUGUUUGUGUUGCCUUUAAUAUAGACCGGUACUCCUGUUCAAAGCAGGUGGUUAGCUAAUGCUAAUGGUGGUGAGUUAGAAGCUCUUGGAUAUAAGGAGGGAUACAGAGUUGAUGUUGAUGUUCCUGACAGCACAUGGGCAAAGGCUGCAAGCUUCCACGAUAUUCUAAUAUUUAACACAGGACACUGGUAAAUUUCUUUUCUUUAUGCUACUGUUUACACUUUCAAAUUCCUAUAGAUUGGUAUUCAAUUGAUGUUUCGCUAAAUAGUGGGAUCAAAUGCAUGACUAUCAUGAUUGACACCUUUUUGAUAUCUGUUUUUUCAAGUUCUCUGGCAGCAUUUGGAAUGUUUCUGUGGCAAAUAGUGAAAUGUAAUCUAUACUUCCUCGACCACAUUAAACAGUUUCCCAUUAAUGCCCAUUUCAUGUGUGUUAUUGUUGUUUUUGCUCUUAUUAUGACCGUGCAACAUAUUUUGCUUAUCCAUUGUACUUGGAAUUUUGGUUUUUUUACAUAGGUGGUGGGCUCCUGCAAAAUUUGACCCUGUGAAGUCACCUAUGCUAUUCUUUGAGAAGGAUAAGCCUGUCAUCCCUCCUGUACAGCCCAAUGUUGGUUUGGAUAUGGUCUUAAAACACAUGGUAGUACACUGGAUGUAUUUAUUUACAUAGUAGUUGCUCCUCAGAAAAUCAUAAGCUUACGUUGUGAAUGCAUGCAAUCUUCUGAUACCAGAUAUUGUCAGGGUUGGAUAGGCCAAGUAACUUAUUGCUUUAGUUACAGACUAAUGUUAACCUAAUGUUGCUGAAGUCUACAAGAAGCCAUGAGUGUCCUUUUUCACUCUGCACACAUCAUCACCGUGUUCAUAAAUUGGAGUUAUGAGUAUAACCUUGGUUAGAUGUGUAUAUUUUCUCAUAUGAUACGUAUAAUAUGGUGACAGAUACAAUAUGUUGAGAAAACUGCACGUCCAGGUUCGAUCAAACUCUUUCGUACACAGUCGCCAAGGCAUUUUGAAGGAGGUGAUUGGGACCAAGGAGGUUCAUGUCAACGGCUACAGCCUUUAUUGCCUGAGCAAGUGAGUCGCGUUUAACAGCUUUUAAGUUAGAUUGCGUAUGAUAAUUAGUUAAAUUAUUUGCAUGCAUACAUACAAUUGAAUCACUACGAACAUCUGUCUCUUUUACACGACUCUGUUUUAUUAAACUUUUGUUACACGGUGUCAGAAAUGAUUUAAGAGAUUUUAUUUCAUUCUGUUUCAGGUUAAAGAACUUUUCUCAGUACAAAAUAAUGGAACAAAUGUAGAAGCGCGCCUGGUGAAUCAGCACCUGUACAAGGCCCUUAAGGGCUCGGAUUUCCAAAUUUUGGACGUUACCCACAUGAGUGAGUUCAGAGCCGAUGCACAUCCCUCUACAGCCGGCGGUAAGAAACACGAUGAUUGCAUGCACUGGUGCUUACCAGGAAUUACAGAUACUUAGAAUGAUUUGUUUGCAACUCUUCUGAACAAUGUUAAGGUUAGAACCUGAUGUACGCAUUAUUUAUAGUCUGAUUAUAUUCUUUUUGGUUAUUCCGAAGUUCUUUCUCACAUACAGAAAAAUAAUUAGAAAAAUAAAAGGAAAUAAAAUGCUGCUACAAUGUCUAAAAAUUACACACUGUAACAUUGAUCUAAAUAAGGAUUAGUUUAUCGAAACUUGUAGAUAUUAAUUUAGCAGUGUCAUUUAUUGUAUAAUACAGCAAAAGUGGUGUAAAGAAACUCAAUCAAGCUCGACAGUCCAUCCCAUCUUGUCCUCAAUGCGGCCAGUUUGGAUUCCUGUUAGCAUUUCAUAUAGCUUUUGCCCCACAGUCCCUGCUCCUCUUUUGUACGCAAUCCUGCAUAAUUCACCUUAGAAAAUAAAUACUGUUGUAAAACCUUAAUUUAAACUAUGAUAAUAUGUAAUUAGCAUGCAAUAUUACAUACCUUGUAUCCUGAUAAGUUAUGCUGUUAACAGAAUUAACCCCCACUGCAGUUCCUGUACAGAAAACUUCUUCGGCAUCAAACAAUUCCCCCACCGGUAUGGCACGUUCUUUAACCUAAUAAUAGUAUGGUUAGUGUUGAUGCAGAAAUCCGAACCAGUUGGUUAGAGACUCAAUAUCAGAUCCCUGCAUCAACAUUAAAUUUGUUUGGUGGGAAGCUGCUGGUUGAUCUCCAAGAAUAUUCUCUAACUAUGAGCAGAACAUUCAUGAGCAUAUAAUCUUCAAGCUGACGAUCAAUAAGUACUUGAAAUUACAGAGAAUGGUCAGAGGUGCCGGAAUUUUUUCCCUCGUAAACCCUCCGAUGCUCAAGUCAGUUAUGGGGUUUACAGGAAAAACCAAAUAUGUCAUUUCUCAUAUGACUUAAUAAACAUUGCCUUAAAACCAAAAGCCUUUUGAAUAAUUUGCAGAAAAGUAAAGUAGAGUAUCCAGAAAGAAUUUCUCAGUGAGAUCCAGAGAAAAAGAACCCCCCUCGGCAUGGUUUUCUCGGGGUUUUUAUAAACACCCCACACCCACGACCUUAGAUCGUGACAAUAACCAUUAAUUGAUCAAAUUCGUGCUCUGAUUUUUCGGAGGAGCUUUGUGGUGGUUUAUUUUAACUGAGUCUUGAUUCCUGGUCAUCACCUGGUCGAGGUGAUCUCCUCAAGCUCAUAGCACCUGGUCGAGGUGAUCUGUUCAAGCUCAUACCACCUGGUCGAGGUGAUCUGCUCAAGCUCAUACCACAUGGUCAUCAGCUCAAGCUCAUACCACCUGGUCAAGGUGAUCUGCUCAACCUCAUAGUACCUGGCCGAGGUGGUCUGCUCAACCAUUUACUCACUUUCACUUGGAGGAGAUCAUGGUCGCUCUAUUUAAUUCCUCAAACAGUUAGUUGACAAAACCUUUUCGAAUAGUAUAAGAGGUUUUGAGAGCAAAUCUCGUUCACAUAAGUGAUUUAGUAAAUAAUAAUAAUAAUAAUAACAAAAAAAUGAGGAGAUACCUGGUAACCCAAAACAUGGGUGAUUUCGAUGAUACUUUUUCGAGUGAUUCCAGGCAGAAUAGUUCCACUCGUUGGUGGAGUUAAAAUUUCAUUUCCCUGAGCAAAUUAUUUCAAAACUAAGUUUUCUUUUUUAAAAAAAAAAUCAACAUAAAGUGAAUUUAUCCAGGUGAUAACCGAUAAAGACAAAGUUAUCUUACCUUCACAAGAAAAAUAUUAGUGGUAGAAACCUCCUCGAUGUAUUUUUCGGCAUUAAGGAACAAGACAUCGGUGAACCCUUUGGCCUUCGCUUCAGCAAUUGGUUUGUAAAUCUACGACGAGAAUACAUGGGAGGAUCUCAAUUUAAAUAGUGAUAGUGUUACUUAGUAAUUAAACAAAGAUUAUUUCCUGGAAACUGCAAAGUUGAAAUUUAUGCUCACUAUAGCAUAAUUGGUGACAGCCUUGACUCCUCCAGUUCCUCCAGGAAUAGCUCGACGAAAUUUUUCCUCCACAAUCAAAUUUAGUACACCCUGUUACAUAAUCCGAAAUGGCUUUCAAGUCCUUAUUCUUUAGAUUAUGUAAUCUAUUUUUUCUUUCUAUUUCUUUUCCUAAAGAAAAUAAUAAUCUAUCAAAGAUGAUCAGGCACCUUACCUUAUGAUAAUUGCCUACAGGAGAAGCAUAAGUUAUGAAGGUGUAUUCGGAGGCUGGUGCAACUCCUAGAACCGGUCCACUUCCCAUAAGCAAAGGCCUUAUAUACAUUGCUCCUUUCCCUGGUGGAGGCACCUAUAUAUAUUCAUCACAAUCCAUGCACAAACUUUUAAUCAGCAAAAUUUUAGACAGGUCACAGAAAAAUUAGAGUAAUAAUUAACUUAUACAUAAAACAUUUUUAUCAAAAUUAAAAUUACUUUACCCAUCGCUUGUUGGAGUGUACAGUUUGCUUUACUGCAUUCACAAAUUGUUCUACAGUUGGUGACUGCAUGCACAUUCUCUUUGCACCCACUUUCAUGCGCAUGGCAUUUUCUUCUGGCCGAAACAGUAGAAUACGCCCAUUUGCUGUCCUGUGUGCCUUCAAACCUUCGAACAAACCCUAAAUUCACUCACCGUCUAUUUUAAAUAAGAAUUCAUAGUUACUGAAUAUAAAGAAAUGUAUUUGUUUGCUAACCAAGAUUGUGUUAAAUGAUGGAUGCGAAUUAAUUAUUACCUGUCCAUAGUUUAAAAUUCCAGAUGAAGGGUUCACCUCUAUCUUUCCAAAUGGAGUGAGAGUUCCUUGUGAGAAGUGUUGGUCUUUAGAACAAUUCAUUAUGUACAUAUAAUCAGUUGGAAUUAGGCCAAAUCCAAGGACAUCCCAAUUGAUCUUUGCAUAUUCUCCAUUGACAUGGCUGCUGAAAACAAGCAAAAGAAUAGAAAUUUGUUUUCAUAUGCUAAUUAAAUUUGUUACUUUGAACCAUAAGUAUCUGAAUAUCUUCUCCUGAUCAAAGCUUUUAAAAGUCUUAUACAUUACAUACGUUGUUAUUAUUUAUGUAUGGUAAAGUAUCUUUCCUUUCACUACCAUUAUAUCCAUUGUGUUAACAACUAGCCAAUAGCUAAACUAUCUGUAAAGAGGUUGAAAAAAGCUGUUACAGAAUAAGAGUCCUUAGACCUCCCUCAAAGAUAGAAGUCUCCGAAACUAAUUAACAUUAAUAUUAAGUCAAAUCUAAUGGCAUGAAAAUGAGAAACGAAUAGUAAAUAAGAACAUAACUUAAGAGGAUGUUACUAAUAAUAUGCCUAUAAGAAAUUAAAGUCUUAGAGAAUGGGAAGGUCUGGCCAAUAAAAUAAUGCCAUGUACUUUAAUUUCUUUUUCUUUUCAUUUUAUAAUUGAAUAAAUAUUAAGUGUAGGUGUCAAAAAUUUUAAUAAACGAGGUACUGUGUCCGUUCCAUACUUCCAUUUAAGGAUUUCUUAACAAUUUCAUGAAGUGGUGGUGGUCUUGUUGCUGUAACUUAGAAUUUUUAAACUUUUAAAUGUGAGUGUAACGUAACUUCUGAAGGACGCUGAAACUUUAAAUGUGCUAAUUUUGACUUCUGAACGGCACUCAGAAACAUUUAGAAAGUCGGUGGGUGGGGCAGCUGACAAAAGUAAUCGUGAGGGUAAUAAAUAAUACAUGAAGAAGACAGAGCAGCCAUGAUUAAUUGCUACGAUAAACUUCUUUGUGUUAUUUAGUACCUAUUAACACUUGGUUCAUUGUAACCUUCCACUUCCGCUCCCGCCGUUCUACAAUAUUGAUCUCUUGUCUGUUUUAAAAAAAAAAAGAAAACUAAUGUUAAGCCCCUGAUUUAGGAAAAUAUCUAAUAACAUAAACACAAAUAUUUUCACCUUAAUACCCACUAAUACUAUUAAAAAAAACAAAAGAGAUAAACCACAGUAGUUGUAUUAAUUGCUAAUGUUAUUAUCCCAUUCAAGAUUGAGUAAAAAUGUUAAUCAAAAAGGGAGAUUGCUGCUUUUCAAGGGGAUAUUAUAAAACCUAUGGGUGUAAGUGGUAAAAUCUCCCAACUUGGAGGGUGGAGAUAAUUUUCCAAAUAAAACUAAAAGAGUUUCAAAAUAAAGUUUUAUGGUGUUUUUGAGAGCGAGGGAAUAACUUUUAAGGUGCAACUGUCGUGGAGUAAAAGAUAUAAUUAUGGAAUAGAAAUGAGAAAAAAGAGCUGAUAAGCUAACAAAACCCAGCUUUAAGGUGUUACGAAACACCUUGACGGCUGAGGUUUGGCAGCCCAACCACCACACGUCACUCCUAAACGCACUCUUAAUUAGUUUGGUAAACAUGACGUAGCUGGCCAAUUAAUCUUGCAUGUCAGUGAGCAUCAAUGGGAUUGUCUGCACCAGCUGCCAUAAAAUAUAUGAAAGGAAAAGAGAUAAAAAGUAAUGGAGUCUAGUAGCAGAAAUAAUCAAUUGGGAAGCGAAAAACAAUUUUGAUAUUGAACCCACAGAAAAAUUCUUUUGACAUUCUGUUCCUUCUUUAAAAUGAACAGAUAAGGAUGAAAACCAAAGUCGGAAAAUUUAUCUACAGGGUGAGAGAGAGGGGGGAAAAUAAAAUAAAAAGACAAAUGAUGAGAGCUGUUAUUCAUAAUCAUAUAUCUUAAUAUGAUGAAAAGGUUUUUUGUUUUUGUUUUAUUUUUGGUUUGACUGAAACUCAAACCUUGAGAUUUAUUAUAUAUAUAUAUAUAUAUAUAUAUAUAUGUAUGUAUGUAUGUAUGUUAUCAUUUGAGUAUUGAAAAAAGAAGUCUCAAAAAAAGAAAAAGGAUCAUGAAGUCGGAAAAACAAAUACAAAAAGAAGAUGGAUGAAUUUCCUGGAGAAAAUAAUUGCUUAUUACCAACAAUAUAUGUACCCAAAAAAGAGAUUAUAAUUCAUAUCUUGUGCCCUACUUCUUUCUCAAUAUUAGAGGGAUCAUGAAGAAGAGAUAUAAAUUUGAGAUUACUGACACACCUUAUACAGAAUCGAUCCUGCUAUUCUUGAUGGUAUGCUCCAUUUUCUGAAAUAAUCACUUACUUUUAACAUGUUUGUUCGUUUCCUGAGAAAAUUAGAGAGAGCAGAGUAUCAAAUCACAAAACACAAAACUCUGUCUAUAUGUGUAGAAGUUGCAUGCAAGCCGCUGGGUUCUGUGAGAACUUUGAAGGGUUGGUUUGUCAAAAUCAGAUGAGCAUUUUCAAAUAUAUAUUAAAGCAUUCACUCAUGCCAAACUAUUAGAAUGGCACUUCUAUUCAAGUUAAAAUUUGUUUUACCAUUUGAGUCUCUGAUAAGUUUUUAAUAACUUAUUUACUUUUGGUAUUAAAACAACAAGAGAGAAAAUAAUUAAUUUAUUUAUUAAGAAGUCCUAUUUACCUUUCAAUAAUGUAUUUCUUACGCUACAUUUUAAUACUAAAAAUGUAAUUAGAGUUUUAAAAUUUUUUUCAAAAACCCGAGUGAUACGAACAAUAUAUAUUAGGUACAAUAUGAAAAGCAAACUCACUAUUGGAACCAGUCAAAAAGACCAAUCUACAAAUGACAAAGGGUGUUAAAGGGAUAGUCACACAUCCAGCAAAGCAACACUUAACCUUGCUCGAUGUCAAACAAUUUGAGAUACAAAGUAUGUUAAGUUUAUUUUACAGAAGUUACUCCGAAAAUAAUCGUUCAUCUUUCCUUGGAAACUAAAUACGCAGAAGACGACGAAGACUAAGACUUUCGAGAGUUGCCCAGAUGGACUAUUAAUCAAAAUUCGCGUACAGAUCACGAAACACGAUCUGGGGCAAAGAUUUUAAUACAUAAUUAAACUGCUGUUUUUGCGUGUAAUGUAGGCCAUACGUCGUGAAAAAUCAUACCGUGUGUAACAUGGCAUGUCAUGAAAAGUACGAUGAUUUAUUAAUUCCUUGUAAUUGAACGAACUGAAUAUUAGCUAGGUUUAUGUUCAAGACUUCAUCUGCACAAUUUUGUAAUGACGUUUGUAGGAAAGAAUAUAAUGCCAUCAUAGGACGGUGUGAAUUUGGGCUUUAAUUUAAGCGUUGUGAUUGUUCAAGCAGUAAUAUUAAGACAGACAAAUUUAGUAGAACAUUGAUAGAAAUAGUGGUAAAUAGUUAUCAAUUUACUAACUUAAUUAAAAACUAAAAUAAAUAAAUGCCGGUUUAUUAUUGUUUUUAUACGCGCUCUGUCAAUGUUCUAUUUUAACAUUUUUCUUGUCAAUGCCUACAAAAAAAGUAGGGGAAAAAAAGAAUGCUUUGAUGUUGCAAUUCCAAUGUAACUCUUAAUAUCAGAAGCUGGAUCAUUUUUAAAAGUCAUUUUUCUGACUUGACUCGACUUCAUGGUUUUCCAAUUUAUAAAUUGAUGAUAACUACAAUUAUUAUUAUUUACGGAUUACAAUCAAAGUCAUUGAUUUAUAAAAUAAAAUAUCUACUAGACCAGUGAUCACUUUUGUUAUAUCACAACCAAAAGUUACAACUUAUAUUAAGGUCCUCUUUGAGAUUAAUUGAAGUUGGACAGUUAUAACUUAAAAUCUGCAGCACUGAAGUAUUUGGUAAAUAUUAACUACUAUAACUUGAAAGUUGUCUUAAAAUUUUUGUCAAAAUUAUUAUUAAAAAUUUAUACUUACUACAUACUAUUAACUUUUGUUUCAUAGUUACAAUCUUUUUUGUACAGCAACUGAACCUUUUAAGUUACAAUACUUCAAUUUCAAAUAAGAUCUAAUAUAUGUAUCUCUACUAAUAUUAAUUUAAAUGUCGAUUUAUAAGGAAUAUCUAUCCUAUACAUAUAUGAGAAAGUUGAUUUACUCCCACCCAAUUAUGGGAGGAGAGUAGGAGCUGUUAUUGUACUUUUUUUGUAAAUUUUUUUUAAAAAAUUUGCUUUUAAAGUGUUAUGGACCGAUAUGAAUGGGCUCAAACCCUAAACCUUUUGUUCUAUCACAAAAGAUAUUAAUACUGAACAACUUGCAAGUGAGAGUGUUUAUCCUACUUUCUUUCACUUGUUAACCCUAUAAAUAGCCAUCGAAACUUCUCAAAUCUUCAUCAGUUACCAACGAUACAUUUCCCUUUCUAGUAGAAAGAAUUCCAAACCAAAUGGCAUUCAGUAAGAAUAUCUUGUCACUAGUGCUUUUCUGUCUCAUGGUGUUAACAUAUGUGAGUAGAAAUGAUGAGAGCACCAUUAGCUGUAUAAACAACAGAGCAGGUGAUUCCAGCUCAAGAGCUGACGUGUCAACGAUCGUUAUACAUGCUGGCUUUCUUUGUAACAAACUUAUUUCAGUUGUAAAACAGAUUCCAGUAGCUUCAUUAAUCAGUUAGAUAGAUUCCUUUAAACUACUAUAUAAACCAACUCUUGUAAUCAUUUUUGAUAACGUUGAUUGAAUAUAAACUCACUGAUUCAAGUAUCUUCUCUGUUAUUUUCUUUAUCUUUCUAUCAUUUUCUUAUCUACCAAACACAUUAACAACAUUUCAAACAUGGUAUCAGAGCCAAUGGCUAACUCAAAUCAAAGUUCACAUUCCUAUAACUUUGUUACUCCGAUCAAAAUGGAUCACAACAACUUCAUGGUGUGGAGGAAUCAAGUUCUGGCUUCAAUCAAAGGAAAUGGUCUAGAAGGUUUCAUCAAUGGAACUAAUCCGUGUCCUGACCAGUAUCUCGAUCAAAUCAGUGAAGCGUCAAGCUCAACUUAAGGUGAUUCUAGAUCUAGAACUGAAAAUCAUGCUUUUGCUAUGUGGAUUAGAACUGAUCAGCUACUUUUAAGCUGGAUGUUCUCAUCUAUUCAAGAAAAUCUACUUACCUCAGUAAUUCAAUGUGUUUCUUCUCAAGAACUUUGGGAAACUCUCACACGCAUGUUUAUCUCUCAAACCCAGGCAAGAAUUGUGCCACUAAAAAUGCAAUUACAAACCUCUAAGAAAGGAUCUAUGUCAAUGAAUGCUUAUUUUUCCAAGAUGAAACGUCUUGCUGAUAGUUUAGCUAUUGCUAGAAAGCCUGUUGAACACAAUGAUCUGAUUUCAUAUAUUCUAACUGGCUUAGAUUCUCAGGAUUAUGAGUCACUUGUUACUAUUUUGCUUGCUAGAAGUGAUACACUGAGUCUAGAUGAAUUGUACUCACUGCUAUUGAGUCAUGAAAUGAGGAUUGAGCAAAAGAAAGGGAAGAUCAGUGCUGAUGUGAUUCAUAAUCUCUCUGCUAACAUUGCACAAAAGAAUCAAAAUCUUCCAAGAGGCGGAUCUGGUAAUUCUGGUUUUCCGAGAUGAAAUGGAGGUUUUGGUAAUUUUAAUCAAGGAUGAAAUAAUGUCAAUCAUGAGUCAAAUAUAAUGUGCCAAAUUUGUUUCAUUCCAGGUCAUGGUGCUGUAAAAUGCAGAAAUAGAUUCAAUCCUGCAUUUGUACCUCAGAGGAAUUUCGGCAUAGGUAACUUCAGACCUGGAUUUGGAAAUUAUGGCAGAGGCUUCAUUCCAAAUAAUUUUGCUUCAAGACCUUUUAAUGGUUUUGGAAGAAAUAAUAAUGGUCAAUAUGUUGGAUCACCAAGGGGUUAUGGUUUUGAAAGUGGCUUUCAAGGUCACGUUACUUAUCAAAAUUCUGAUGUUGCUGGUGCAAACUCUCAAUCCUCCUUCUAUAACUCUCACAACUCUGGUUCUGAUCAUCCAGCAGCCUUUAAUUGCUUCAAUGGAACAACUAAUGCUUCUCAGUUCCAGUCAUCAACAAACUUUCAUACUGCUCCUUCCCCUGAGACUGUGGAAGAUCCGUCCUGGUACAUAGAUAGUGGAGCCUCUACUCACAUCACAGUUGACUCAGGUAAACUCUUCAAUAUGCAACCUUAUUAUGGCACAGAAUCACUUCUUGUUGGAAAUGGAAAUGCAUUAGAAAUUAAACAUAUUGGAUCUACAGUGUUUGAUACACUGACAACUGAACCUUUACUUCUAAAUAAUAUCUUGCAUGUUCCAAAUAUCACCAAGAAUUUAUUAAGUGUUUCUCAACUUUUAGCUGACAACAAUGUUAUUGUUGAAUUUGUUGGAACCUUUUGUUUCAUAAAGGCCAGGAAAACAGAAACUCUGUUACUUAAGGGAGUAGCUACUGGAGGCUAGUAUCAGAUACAAAAUUUGUCAAGUGAAGAUUCUCAAGUUUCUUGGUGUCAUGGUCAAAUAAAUAAACCUGUAUUAAUGUUUGCUACUCUCUCUAGUUCAGUCAAUUCUAGUCCCCUUCCUUUUAAGUCAUGUAAUCCAACAGCUUUCACAAUGUCUGUAUCAUCAGUUGAUGUUGAUUUACUUCACAAGAGACUUGGACAUCCAGCCUCACACACACUUCAAACUGUUAUUAAGACUUGUAAUUUGUUUGCUGGAAUUAAUAAAACUCCAAAAAUUACCUUCUGUGAUGCCUGUCAGUUUGGCAAGAAUCAUCUUAAACAUUUUGAUUCUGUCAUUACCAAAACAACAGCACCUUUGCAGUUAUUAUAUGCAGAUCUUUGGGGUCCUUCACACAUCACUUCUACUCAAGGCUACAACUAUUACUUGUCAAUAUUAAAUGAUUACGGUAGGUUCACUUGGAUUUUUCCUUUAAAAGCCAAGUCUGAUUCAUUACAAGUUUUCAUUGAUUUCAAAACCUUCAUUGAGAAACAUCUUGAGAAGAGAAUUAAGACUGUCCAAACAGACUGGGGAGGGGAAUUCAGAUAAUUUUCUUCAUUAUUAACAGCCUCUGGUAUACAUUUCAAACACCCUUGUCCUCACAUUCACCAUCAAAAUAGGAAAAUAGAGAGGAAACAUAGGCACAUUGUUGACAUUGGUCUCACCUUACUAGCUCAAUCAAAUUUGCCACUCACUUUUUGGUGGAAUGCCUUUCACACUACUGUAUUUCUCAUAAACAAAUUACCAACUCCAGUUUUGAAUAAUGUCUCACCCUAUUUCAAACUCUUUCAUCAAACUCCAGAUUACUCAUUUCUAAGAGUUUUUGGCUGUGCUUGUUACCCUUAUCUUAGACCCUAUUAAAAACAUAAGCUUGAGUUCAGGACUGGUAGAUGCAUCUUCAUAGGAUACAGUCCAAAUCAUAAGGGCUAUCAAUGUUUACACUCUUCAGGAAGGGUAUAUAUAUCCAAUCAUGUAGUGUUUAAUGAAAAUUCUUUCCCAUACCAGCCAGGUGUUGACUUUCUUCUGUUUGAAUGUCUUGUUUAAGUACAAACAAUACAGAGUCCACUCCCUCUAUACAAGUUCUCUCAGCACCUCCCUUAACAACAGAGGUUCCUGCUUUAUCUCCACAUUUAUCACAACAAGUUUCUAGUAAUUCCAAUUCACCCUUAUCUCAACAUUCUUUACCUUCCCCUACAUCAAAUCAAAGUUCACCAAAUUCAUCCCACUCAAACAUUCCAGUACCUUUUGAUCCUGCCCAUCAGUUACCCAAUUUUCAGCCACCUGGUCAUCACAUGAUUACUAGGUCCAAAGCUAGAAUUUUUAAACCAAAAGCAUACAUCACUGCACUUUUAGCUCAACCAUCUGAACCUAACUCAGUAGCUCAAGCACUGCAAGAUCCAAAAUGGUUUAAUGAUAUGCAGGAAGAGUUUAAAGCCCUUUAGGCCAAUCAAACUUGGGAUUUAGUUAUUCCUACAGCUUCUGUCAAAGUAGUAGGAAACAAAUGGAUUUUCAGAAUUAAACACAAUUCAGAUGGAUCAAUCUCAAGGUAUAAGGCAAGACUUGUUGCAAAAGGGUUUAAUCAAACAUAUGGAAUUGAUUACAGUGAAACUUUCAGCCCAGUAGUUAAGGUUUCAACAGUGAGAGUGAUAUUAAGUUUAGUAGUGAUGAACAACUGGAUGAUAAGGCAAGUUGAUGUUAAUAAUGCCUUUCUCAAUGGCAUUCUUGUUGAAGAUGUAUACAUGGCCCAAUCAGAAGGUUUUGUGGAUCCAGCAAAGCCUCAUCAUGUAUGCAAAUUGAAAAAGGCUCUGUAUGGUCUCAAGCAAGCUCCAAGGGCAUGGUUUGACAGGUUCAAAAGUGCUAUGACAUCUCAGUGGCAUUUUGAUCAUUCAAAGUCAGAUUCCUCACUAUUUUACAGAUGGGAUACAUGUGAUAUUCUACUGGUCUUAGUCUAUGUAGAUGACAUUAUCAUUACAGGUUCUAAUUCCAAUAGUGUGUUGAAAGUGAUCUCUAAUAUGCAAGCUACUUUUGCUCUUAAAGAUUUAGGAGAGCUUAGCUAUUUUCUUGGCAUAGAGGUCACUAGAAAUAAGACAGGCCUUCAAUUAUCUCAAAGCAAAUACAUAGUUGAUUUGCUGAACAAGCAUGAAAUGGUUACUUGCAGUCCAGUACCAACUCCCAUGAUCACAUCUCAUUCACUUGUUAAAAACUCAGGAGCUAUUAUUUCAAAUGCUUCUCAGUACGGGAGUGUUGUGAGGGCUUUACAGUAUGUGACUUUAACCAGGUCAGAAUUAGCUUUUUCAGUUAAUAAAUUGAGUCAAUUCCUCUCAGCUCCAACAGAAGAACAUUAGCAAGCAUGUAAGAGGAUACUUAGAUAUUUGAAAGGAACAAUUCACUAUGGUUUACAACUUCAUUCAACUGGAAGUCAGCAUAUGCAAAUAAAUUGUUUCAGCGACUCUGAUUGGGCUUGUGACAGAGAUGAUCGAAAAUCAGUAGCUGGGUAUGCUGUGUUCCUUGGACCUAACCUUGUUUCAUGGUCUUCAAAAAAGCAACAUGUUGUUUCCAGGUCAAGUACAGAGUCCAAAUACAUAGCCUUAGCUCUGGCAAUAACUGAAGUUAUGUGGAUAAAAAGGGUUACUUGCUGAGCUGAAGAUCAAAAUUGAUCACACACCUAUUAUGUGGUGUGACAAUCAGGGAGCAAUAUCUUUGGCUAUGAAUCCAGUUUAUCAUGCCAAGACAAAACACAUUGAGCUAGAUAUACACUUCAUUCGAGAAAAGGUACAAGCUAAGCAAAUUGAAGUUAACUAUGUGCCUAGUGAAGAUCAGGCAGCAGACAUAUUCACAAAAGCUUUAGCCUACUGACAAUUCAAUUAUCUUAUAAGCAAGCUGAACAUAUUUCCUACACAGUUCAGGUUGAGGGGGGAUGUUAGCAUAUGUGAGUAGAAAUGAUGAGAGCACCACUAGCUGUAUAAACAACAGAGCAGGUGAUUCCAGCUCAAGAGCUGAUGUGUCAACGAUCGUUAUACAUGCUGGCUUUCUUUGUAACAAACUUAUUUCAGUUGUAAAACAGAUUCCAGUAGCUUCAUUAAUCAGUUAGAUAGAUUCCUUUAAGCUACUAUAUAAACCAACUCUUUUAAUCAUUUUUGAUAACGUUAAUUGAAUAUAAACUCAUUGAUUCAAGUAUCUUCUCUGUUAUUUUCUUUCUCUUUCUAUCAUUUUCUUAUCUGCCAAACACAUUAACAACAUUUCAAACACAUGGGGUUAGCCCUAGCUCUGCCUUCCCGUGCACAAGACUUACCACAAGACUAUGUCAAUGCUCACAACGCAGCUAGAGCACAGGUUGGCGUUAACCCUGUGAAAUGCGACGAGAGCAUAGCUGCCUUUGCAAGAAGCUAUGCUAGUCAACAAAUUGCCAGCUGCAAUCUUGUCCAUUAAGAGACAGGCGUUACGGCGAGAACCUUGCCGGGAGCUCGGGUAACCUUUCAGGCUCAGAUGCUGUCGGAUUGUGGGUGAGUGAAAAGGCUGACUACGAUUACAAUUCUAAUAGUUGCAACGCAGGCAAGGUGUGUGGGCACUAUACGCAUGUGGUUUGGAGGAACUCUGUUCGCAUUGGGUGUGCAAAAGUGAGAUGCAACAAUGGAGGAACUUUCGUUGGCUGCAACUAUGCUUCCCCAGGCGACGUCGUGGGGCAGAAGCCUUACUAAUUAAUUUAAUUAGUAUACUUUUCAGCUGGAGAAAGGCAUUUAAAUAAGAGUUUAUUUUGAUGAAUAAAGCUUUUUCUGUUGUCUGUAUUGGUGGAUAAAAAAUAAUUACAAUUAUAUUAUGUAUAACUGUAUAAGUCUGGAAUUAUGCUUCGCAUAAUGCUAUUUUUGCUAGGGAUUCAUGUACCACGACCACUUUGCGAACUAAGAACUGACGACUCUAUGUGUGUGUUUCUUCUAUGAAUAUAGGCUUCAUUAAUUUGUUAUCUCACUAGUUCUAUUCUACGGCUGUUGCUUGUUGAACAAAUUAGUCUGGCAAAAGUUAAAUUGUAAUUACGCUUAAAAUUUAUUUUAAUUAUUUCUCUAAUCACAUGAAAGUGUCUGGCAAAAGUUAGAUUGUAAUUAUGCUUAAAAUUUAUGUUAAUUAAUUCUCUAAUCACAUAAAAGUAUCAUCCCGGUAUUUGUCUGAUGAGUUACCAUAUACGAGUCCAAAAUAAGUUCUAAGGUGCAAAAUUAAUAUCUAUCGUGACUGGUAAUUAAGAUUUAUUGUUUUUGUUUAUAUUAAGUAAGACUAAUCACAUUCAUAAUUUUGUUAAAAGAAGAGAUAUGUUUAAGUUUAAAUUUUGGAUGAGGAAUGUUUUCUGAUCUAAACUUUUAUAUGAGUAAAUACACUCAUAUGAUCGAUAGUUAACAAAUAAGAAUAUAAUAAUUACAUAAAUCAUGAUUAUACAUGAAUAAAAAUGUAUGUGUCAAAAAAAAUCUUCAAAGAUUUUAAAUUUGAGGAUUUUGCCAAAAUCCACAUUCGAUGAUGUUCUCUUCUUUGGCAUCUUUGCAGCUUUAUUUAUAUGGUCAAUGUUCAUUGUUUCGGCAUCUUUAUUUUUUCUUAUUAUUAGUUUUUAUUCUGGUUAUCUCCUUGGCAUCUCUAAAAUAUGGCUAUAUCUGCACUCUAUUUAAUUAGCUCAAAACAAUCAAUAUGUAGGUUUAGAUUGAUCUCUCCAACUUCAUGGAACAUGAUUUUUAUUUAAUGGUGAAUGACACUUAUAUCUCUCAUAAAAAACGGUUUUUAGCACUUAGCUAGAUCUCUUAUAAAUUUUUGAUAGAUCAAUUUAUUUUUUAUGUUAUUAAAACAUUUAAAAGAAAAAAAUAAAUUGUUAAUAGGUACAUGCUCGUCACCUUAAUUUUACCUCAAUAUGGAUUAAUAUAUUAGCCAACAAAAAGAUCAUAUAUUGAAUUUAAUAAAGAUAAGUAGACGGACAAUAGUGCAUAAUCAAGCAAAGACUAACGACACAUGCAAGUGCCUUGACCAAAGACAUUAUUACAAUAGCAGAUUUAAUGUCAUGAAUUUUGAGAAUGACAUUGCGACAUAUACUUAAUUUAUUGUUUAAACUCUUAAUUUGCAGAAACGGAGUAGAUCUUAAUUAACUUAAUCAGCUAAGUAAGGUUUCUGCCCAAUAUAAUUGCCCGGAGGAUCAUAGCUGCAAGUGACAAACCACCAGCCAUUGCUACAUUGAACCCUAGCACAUCCAACACGAAUCGAAUUGCGCCAAACCACCUGAGUAUAGUGCCCACACACCUUGCCUGCAGC
rnacentral:lncRNA from 1 species